AAGACUGAUUAAACUUUUCACCUCUUAGAGGUAAACCUGAAGCCAAUGCCUUAUUUUGAACCUGUAAAGCACAUUCAUUUUGUGGAGAUCCUGUAGUCUCACAGGAAUUCUGAGCUGAAGAUGUUUUAGAAGAUGAGUAAUUUGCAGAAUCUUUUGAAUCCGAGAUAGUUCUCUUAAUAACAGAUGUAUGCGAAAUUUUGCUCGAGUUUGACGGUUUUGGAGCAGCAUUUACAGAGGAUUUUGGACGCUCAUUUACUGUUCUUCUUGACACGUCCUGACUGUCUUCAUUGUUGACCUUGACUAUAUCACUUGUAGCUCGAUCUUUCUUAAUAUUAGAAUCGCACUCAGACUUUACUUGCUGCUUAGUAUUAGGAUUAGAAUCCAGAGGAGCAGCAGAUCUAAAGUUGUCACAGCCAGAAGAUUUGGAGACCAUGACAGUGGCUGAAGUGGAAGAUGAUUUUCCAACACACAAAACAAUUUUAUUCUGACUGGGUAACGCCGAAGAAUUGGAGAUAGUUCCACCAGAUUUUGAGAGUUCUUCACCAAAAGCUUUAGGUUCUGAAGGGCAUUUUUGCAACGACAAUAAACCCUCAGGCCCCUCCAAUUCCUGUUUAAUCUGAAAGGGUUCACUAGUUAAAUCAUUGUGUUUUCCUGCAUGGCAAUCACUGAUUGCUUCUGGAGUUCUGUCAACCUCUUGAGCCUUUUUGUCACCAGAUGGUGAAACACUUAAUGCUGCAUUAUUCAUUUUAGAAUUUUCAGCAAUGUUAUCAUGAGAAACCCCUAUAUCUUUCGCAUCACCAACCGAAGAUUUAUCAUUCAGGAUCCCCAUAGAAUCAUCAUAAACUGCAUCUACUUUAAC
rnacentral:misc_RNA from 1 species